GGGGUAAAGGCCUACCAAGCCUGAGAUCGGUAGCCGACCUGAGAGGGUGAUCGGCCACACUGGAACUGAGACACGGUCCAGACUCCUACGGGAGGCAGCAGUGGGGAAUAUUGGGCAAUGGGGGAAACCCUGACCCAGCAACGCCGCGUGAGGGAAGAAGGUCCUCGGAUUGUAAACCUCUGUUCCUGGAGAAGAGAAGAAGACGGUAUCCAGGGAGGAAGCCCCGGCUAACUACGUGCCAGCAGCCGCGGUAAUACGUAGGGGGCAAGCGUUGUCCGGAAUAAUUGGGCGUAAAGGGCGCGUAGGCGGCAAGGCAAGUCAGCAGUGGAAGUCCCAUUUUCAAGGUGGGGAGGGCUGUUGAAACUGCGUUGCUUGAGUGCAGGAGAGGUUAUCGGAAUUCCCGGUGUAGCGGUGAAAUGCGUAGAGAUCGGGAGGAACACCAGUGGCGAAGGCGGGUAACUGGACUGCAACUGACGCUGAGGCGCGAAAGUGUGGGGAGCAAACAGGAUUAGAUACCCUGGUAGUCCACACUGUAAACGAUGAAUGCUAGGUGUAGGGGGUAUCGACCCCUUCUGUGCCGGAGUAAACACAAUAAGCAUUCCGCCUGGGGAGUACGGUCGCAAGAUUAAAACUCAAAGGAAUUGACGGGGCCCGCACAAGCAGCGGAGCAUGUGUUUAAUUCGAAGCACGCGAAGAACCUUACCAGGUCUUGACAUCCAGGUAAGCUUGAGAGAUCAGUGUGCCUUCGGGCGAUCUGAGACAGGUGGUGCAUGUUGUCGUCAGCUCGUGUCGUGAAGAUGUGGG
rnacentral:rRNA from 1 species